rnacentral:rRNA from 1 species
AGAGUUUGAUCAUGGCUCAGAUUGAACGCUGGCGGCAUGCUUAAUACAUGCAAGUCGAACGGUAACAGGUUCUUCGGAAUGCUGACGAGUGGCGGACGGGUGAGUAAUGCAUAGGAAUCUGCCCAUGUAGUGGGGGAUAACUUGGGGAAACUCAAGCUAAUACCGCAUAAUUCCUACGGCGGGGGACCUUCGGGCCUCGUGCUAUUGGAUGAGCCUGCGUUAGAUUAGCUAGUUGGUGGGGUAAAGGCUCACCAAGGCGACGAUCUAUAGCUGGUCUGAGAGGAUGAUCAGCCACACUGGAACUGAGACACGGUCCAGACUCCUACGGGAGGCAGCAGUGGGGAAUAUUGCACAAUGGGCGAAAGCCUGAUGCAGCAAUGCCGCGUGUGUGAAGAAGGCCUUAGGGUUGUAAAGCACUUUCAGUAGGGAGGAAAAGUUAGUCGUUAAUAACGGCUAACCCUGACGUUACCUACAGAAGAAGCACCGGCAAACUCCGUGCCAGCAGCCGCGGUAAUACGGAGGGUGCGAGCGUUAAUCGGAAUUACUGGGCGUAAAGCGCGCGUAGGCGGCCUGAUAAGUUGGAUGUGAAAGCCCUGGGCUCAACCUAGGAACUGCAUGCAAAACGGGCAGGCGAGAGGAGGGGAGAGGAGAGGGGAAGUGCCGGUGUAGCGGUGAAAUGCGUAGAGAUCGGAAGGAACAUCAGUGGCGAAGGCGGCUAUCUGGACCAAUACUGACGCUGAGGUGCGAAAGCGUGGGGAGCAAACAGGAUUAGAUACCCUGGUAGUCCACGCCGUAAACGAUGUCAACUAGCCGUUGGAGGGCCUUGUCCCUUUAGUGGCGCAGCUAACGCAAUAAGUUGACCGCCUGGGGAGUACGGCCGCAAGGUUAAACUCAAAUGAAUUGACGGGGGCCCGCACAAGCGGUGGAGCAUGUGGUUUAAUUCGAUGCAACGCGAAGAACCUUACCAGGUCUUGACAUCCCGAGAAUUUACUAGAGAUCAAUUGGUGCCUUCGGGAACUGUGAGACAGGUGCUGCAUGGCUGUCGUCAGCUCGUGUUGUGAAAUGUUGGGUUAAGUCCCCGUAACGAGCGCAACCCUUGUCCUUAGUUACCAUCAUUUAGUUGGGUACUUUAAGGAGACUGCCGGUGACAAACCGGAGGAAGGCGGGGACGACGUCAAGUCAUCAUGGCCCUUACGAGUAGGGCUACACACGUGCUACAAUGGCUGGUACAAACGGUUGCAAUCCUGCGAGGGGGAGCUAAUCUGAGAAAGCCAGUCGUAGUCCGGAUCGGAGUCUGCAACUCGACUCCGUGAAGUCGGAAUCGCUAGUAAUCGUGAAUCAGAAUGUCACGGUGAAUACGUUCCCGGGCCUUGUACACACCGCCCGUCACACCAUGGGAGUGGGUUGCUCCAGAAGUAAAUAGCUUAAAAUGGGGCGCUCACCACGGUGUGGUUGAUGACUGGGGUGAAGUCGUAACAAGGUAGCCGUA